ensembl:snRNA U1 U1 spliceosomal RNA
ACACUCACCUGGCAGGGGAGACACUGUGCUCAGGAAGGUGGUCUUCCCAGGAUGAGGCUCAUCCCCUGCACUCUGGGUGUGCUGACCCCUGGAAUUUCCCCAGAUAUGGGAAACUCGACUGUGCCAUUUGUGGUAGUGGGGGACCUGCUUUCCCAUU